AACAAAUUAUUUGAUAAAAAAUUCUAUAGUAAAAAGUUAUGGCUGACCUACAUGCAUAAUAAAUCUUAUGAAAACAUGGUUUAUGAAUCACAGUUAAGUGAAAUAUUUUUAUUGGCUAUGCAGUACUUACAUAGAUUUCACUGCCAUGUCAUCAUAAUUAGUACAUAUAUUUUGAAAUGGCAAGAAUGAAUAUAAGAGACAUGAAUUUUAGCAGAUGCAACCAUACAUAUCAACGUAUUUCAGCUCUAAAAAAAAAAAAAAAAAAAACAAAUAUCUA